UGGGGAAUAUUGCACAAUGGGGGAAACCCUGAUGCAGCGACGCCGCGUGAGCGAAGAAGGUUUUCGAAUCGUAAAGCUCUGUCCUAUGGGAAGAUAAUGACGGUACCAUAGGAGGAAGCCCCGGCUAACUACGUGCCAGCAGCCGCGGUAAUACGUAGGGGGCAAGCGUUGUCCGGAAUCACUGGGCGUAAAGGGUUCGCAGGCGGAAAUGCAAGUCAGUUGUGAAAGGCAGAGGCUCAACCCCUGUAAGCAAUUGAAACUGUAUUUCUUGAGAUGUGGAGAGGCAAGUGGAAUUCCUAGUGGAGCGGUGAAAUGCGUAGAUAUUAGGAAGAAUACCGGUGGCGAAGGCGACUUGCUGGACACAAACUGACGCUGAGGAACGAAAGCGUGGGUAGCAAACAGG
rnacentral:rRNA from 1 species